CAAAAAUAUUAAAUCAAUGCCUUGAUUUGUCAUGGUUUGUGUUAUUGAUACAUCUAUUUUUCUAGCUGCUACAAUUAUAAAAUACUAUUAUCAAUGUAUGACACAUGUUAUAUUAAUCAAAAACCUAUGUGGCCUUUGGUGAAAUAUGCAAUAAGUCAUUCACUUGUAUAGAACCUGUAUUUGUCAUGACAAAAACAUGCCUGUG